rnacentral:rRNA from 1 species
AUUGCAGGCUGCAACCCGCCCUGCAUGAAGUCGGAAUUGCUAGUAAUCGCGGAUCAGCAUGCCGCGGUGAAUACGUUCCCGGGCCCUUGUACACACCGCCCCGUCACACCAUGGGAGCCGGUAAUACCCGAAGUCAGUAGUCCAACCUCGUGAGGACGCUGCCGAAGGUAGGAUUGGCGACUGGGGUGAAGUCGUAACAAGGUACC